GAUGAACGCUGGCGGCGUGCCUAAUACAUGCAAGUCGAGCGGACGGACGAGAAGCUUGCUUCUCUGAUGUUAGCGGCGGACGGGUGAGUAACACGUGGAUAACCUACCUAUCAGACUGGGAUAACUUCGGGAAACCGUCUCUAAUCCCGGAUAAUCUUUUGCACCGCAUGGUGCAAAAGUAAAAGACGGUCUUUCUGUCUCUUAUAGAUGGAUCCGAGCUGCAUUAGCUAGUUGGUAAGGUAACGGCUUACCACGGCAACGAUGCAUAACCGACCGGAGGGGGUGAUCGGCCACACUGGAAGGUGGACACCGUCCAGACUCCUACGGGAGGGAGCAGUAGGGAAUCUUCCGCAGUGGGCGGAAGCCUGGCGGAGCAACGGCGAGUGAGUGAUAGAGGUCUCCGGAGCGUAAAACUCUGUUAUUGGGGAAGAACAUAUGUGUAAGUAACUGUGGAGAGCUUGACGGUACCUAAUCAGAAAGCCACGGCUAACUACGUG
rnacentral:rRNA from 1 species